CUUCACUUCGUCAGGGCGCCAAAAGAAGGAGCCUUUUUCCCAUCUUCGUCAUUGCUGGAUUCUAAGAACUCCAAAACGCCAGCCUUGCACAGCUUUGUAUACUUCACUUGCUACUUGCACGAUGAGGUUUGCUCCCAGCAUCAACAUUCUUUCCCCUGGGUACCUUUUCUGCAAAACAGCCCAGUCAGCAAUCCAUCCACACAUCAUUUUCACAACACCCAUUGGGUCAGAAAUCAUUUUUCUAUCAAACACAAUGCUAUUUCUGCAUCUCUAGAUCGCCCACAGCAGCGCUGAGAUGCCAACUAACAUAAGUUUCUUGCUAUCUUUCUGGAAAUUUUUCAGCCAUAUUCCAAAACAAUCAUUGAGGUUUCUAGGAGUGCAUUUCAGGUCAAAUGCACAUCUUACUAGAGCCCAGAUGGUUUUAACCACUGAGCACGAGAAAAAUAGAUGAUCUAUUGUUUCAUCUUUGCCACAAAACACACAAUUUUUAUCCCCUUUCCAGCCUCUUUUUAACAGAUUAUCUCUAGUAAGUAUGCUUUUUGUGGCUAGAAGCCAAAGAAAGAAUCUAAUCUUAGCAGGAACUUUAGUUUUCCAUAGGAACUUCCUGGAGAAUCCCACAUCAGAUUUGAUCAGAUCCCUGUAUAGAGAUUUGACAGUGAAUUUUCUGUCAGCCGUCAACAUCCACAUGGGUUUGUCUCUCCCCCCAUGCAUUAGCACUUCCUCCCAUCUUGCUCUCAUGCUAUUCCAAAGUUGCUUAGUAUCCCCAUAAAGAGCUCUUCUAAAAGUAAAACCACCCCAUCCCUUAUCUAUAGCUUCUCUAACUGAAAUUCCCUGAUCAUUGCUAAUAAAAAACAGAGAGGGAUAAGCCUCUUUGAGGGGUUUAUCCCCAACCCACCAGUCUUCCCAAAACCUGGUGUUUCUGCCAUCCCGCAAUCUCUUCUUAACAUGUGGAUAGUAAUAUUUUCUAAUUUUUAAGAGAUCAGACCAGAAUUGGGAAUCCCCAUUUUUGUGCUUAAUUCCAGAAAGGCAUUUGUCCCCAACAUAUUUCCUUUUAACAAUUUCCUGCCAAAACCCCUCAUCAUUCUCAAGUUUCCACAGCCAUUUAGCCAAUAAAGCAAUAUUGAACAUUUCAAUAUUGAUAAUCCCUAGACCCCCCCCCUGUUGUUUUGGAAGACAGCAGAUUUUCCAGUUUACCAAAUGGUAUUUAUUUUUAUCCUCCUCUGCUUGCCACACCAUCCUAGCCCUAUAAAGUCUAUCUUUUUUCUAACUCCAGCUGGCAGGAGAUAAAAGGACAUCAUAUAUAUAGGUAUGUUAUAUAAGCAGGAUUGCACCAGAGUGACUCUUCCUGCAAUAUUCAGUAGCCUACCCUGCCAGCAGGCUCUCCUUUUCUCAAUUUUCUCAGUGACAUUCUUCCACAUCUUGUUUCUAAUUUUCUUGUAAGAUAUGGGUAGCCCCAAGUAUUUCAGAGGGGUCUCCCCCAGGAUGCAAGUGAAGAUUUCCUGGUAUAAUUCUUUUUUCCCACUGGCCUCUCCAAACAAGAAUAUUUAACUUUUAUGAAAGUUUAUUGUCAGACCAGACAUUUGUUCAAAAGCAGUUAGGAUAAAUUUUAGAUUUCUAGCAGACUCUUGAUCAUCUUGUAACAAGAAGAUGGUGUCAUCUGCAUAUUGCAGCAUAUUGACUCCAUUUUCAUGGUAAUCAGUGAGAACCCCUUUUACAAACCCUUCCUCUCUAGCCCUAUCUAGAAUGAUGGCCAGAGCAUCAACUGCCAGAUCAAAGAGCAGAGGAGAUAAAGAAUCUCCCUGCCUUAGUCCUUUAAAGGUAUUGAAGUAAGGGCCUAUAUCAUCAUUCACUUUGACUGCUACAUGCCCCCUCUCGUAGUCUGCAACACCCAGUCACACCAUUUGUCAGGGAAGUUUUUUAAUUGAAGCAUCUUAUGAACAAAAGGCCACUUGAUUUUGUCAUAUGCAUUUUCAAAGUCAACUUUGAAUAGCAUAACACUUUGUUUUUUAUUUUGAAUAGAGUUCAUAGCUUCAUGCAGAAUUACAACUCCCUCCAUAAUAUAUCUACCUUUCACAAAGGCAGUUUGGAUGGGUGAGAUAAUAGGUUAACUACUUUUCUUAAUCUGUUCAUCAGUAUCAUGGCGAUAAUCUUGAAGCUAACAUUCACAAGGUAGAUAGGUCUAAACUUUUGAAUUUUUCUAGCAUCUUUCACUUUUGGAACUAGGGUAAUAAUCCCAUAGUUCAAUCUGGCCAAAUCAACUUUGCCCUUGUGAAAGUCAUCUAAGAUAGCUUUCAAAUCAGUUUUUAGUAGCUCCCAAAAGUGUUGGUAGAAGUCUACAGCAAAUCCAUCACGACCUGGACUUUUGUUUUUUUUUCGUAGUGAAAACCACAUCUUUAAUUUCUUCCAAACUAAAAGGUUUAAUCAAUUCAUUUUCUUCCUAUGUGGAAAUCCCUACAGGGUUUCGAAUGUCCAGAUUAAUGUUAGAUUUCUCAACUUGACCAAAUAAGGCUUUUGUAAUAGGUGGUUACAUGCUCCAUGAGUUUGGCAUCUCCCUCAAUGGGGUUCCCCCUGAUGUUCAAGUGUAGUGAUCCUAUUUUUCCUUCUUCUACCAUUAACCUUGGCAUGAUAAUAUCUAGUAUUAGAGUCACCCUCUUUUAUCUCCUUAUCUUUAUAUCUUUGCAACCAUUUGAUUUCUUCCAUUUUCAAGAUGUCUUUUAGUUCUUUCCUCCAGUUUUUCUGGAUCUCUCUAUCUUGAGCACUAAGCCCAAAAAUUUCAGCUCUUUUAUCAAUCUCAUCCAGCAGUUCUAAUAGCUCUUUUUUCCUUUUUCUGUAGGCAACAUUAGCAUUAAUAAUCCAUCCCCUUAUUUUUUGUCUGAUAUUUCUCAACUUUGUUUGCCAUAUGUCUAGGCUAGAAUCUUUGCAAUUAAUAUUUCAAUUCUUUUCCACAAAUUCCCUAAACCCUUCCAUAAGCAUCCAAGCAUUUUCAAAUCUAAAAAUAGGUUGGCUUUUUCUAUGAUCCCCAAUGUCUAAUAGCAGAGGGGUGUGGUCAGAGAUUUACCUCUCCAUGGCAUUUACCAUAGCCAGGGGGUAUUUGUCUUCCUAGUCUGGACAGAUUAAAAUCCUAUCUAGUUUCUCAUAAGUAGGAUCAUGCAAGUUAUUAGCCCAGGUAUAUUUUCUUCCAUUCAAAGGGAGACCCCUGAGUCUAGAAUGCUCAAUAAUAGCGUUGAACACAAAGCUAAAAUGGUCUAAUCCUCCAGGUUUAUUUUUUUCAGAACUGUUCCUGAUCAAAUUGAAGUCUCCCCCUAUCACACAAGGGUGAGUAUUAUCUUGGUAUAAUCUGGAUAAUUCAGCCAAAAAUGCUACUUUUCCAUCUUUUUGAGCAUCUCCAUAAAUUGUGACCAGAUUCCAACUAAAUUUGGCUACCUUAUCAAACAAAUGUAUAUUAAUGAAAUACGACCCUUUUUCCACUUGUAGUAUAUCAAAACACUCAUUAUUAAUCCCAACUAGUAUCCCCCCAGAUUUGCCUCUAGGGGCAAUCCAUUCCCAGAGGAAAUUUCUUCCUCCAGCAAGGCUAUGCAACUCAUUUUUUGUGAAGUCACUUUUAAUGGUUUCCUGAAGUCCAAGAAAAUCUAAUUGUUUUCCAAAAUGGUAUCUCUAAUGAAAUUUCUUUUAAUAUCCUUCCCAAUCCCUCUUACAUUCCAAAACAUACCUCUUAUUUUUUUCUUUAUAUUUUUUCCUUUUGUUUCCCCCACUCAAGAUGGAUUUUUCUCCAACCCCAAAGGUUGGUAUCCCACCUCUCAUUUUUUUGUUGCUAGAAAAAAAAUCUUUUUCAAUUUGUCAUAAUGUUCUGUCUCUAUAUCACCCUGAGAAUUCUCUCCUUCUGAACACAAGUCCUCUAAUUCAACAUCUCCAAUGUCAAUAAGACCGGGAGAGCCAUCCUUUCUCUCCUCCCUCUUUUCAUUAAUAUUUUUUGGAGAUAUAUAUCUCUUCUAGCCUGUUCCAUGUUAGAAAUCAGGUCUAGGUUGUGGGUAACCAUAUCAAGAGCACAUCCCAAAUCAAUUCCAACCCUAUUAGCCAUAUCAUAUAAAGAAAUGUUUUCAUCAGAAAGAACAGGGUUCUUACCAUAAUUGUUCUUGUCUGCUACCCUUUCCUUGGCCAGAUCUUCUAUUUUAGCAUCUUUUUUAU
rnacentral:lncRNA from 1 species